UAAAUAGUUUGAAAUUUCAGACUUCCUGCAUUUAGCGAAGGCAACCAGGUUAAGACACAUAUUCAUACAUUAAUGCUUUUUUUCAGGACACACUGUCCUAUUUAAGCCAUCAAUUGAUUCAUCCUUCAAGAUCUUUCUGAAAAUAAGCAGAGCUCUGAUAAUUAUUUACCAUGGAUGUUAAGCACUGUUUGAUCUUCGGUUAUGGCAUUCUUGGAACAAUUCAAUCCAUGAAUAAGGACAAACGGUGGAAAGAAAAGUUAAGAGGCCUGGCAAGAGCGAAUCGUCACAUGUCUGGAGGCCUCUUUGAUGGAAGGUCGUGAAGAGAAGAGCCCUCCAGUAGCAUCAGGAGAGAUUUCUUCAAGCCUCAUCCCAUGCCACCCUUUGACCAUCAGUGUUUCGAAUCUAAGGAUAGCCUCAUCUAAGAAAGACCACAGCUGGAGAAAGGAGGCAUAGGAGGACUAAAUGCUCCCUCCCAGAUCAGCGGGCUAUAAAUAGUUCCCCUAGAGCACGGUCCUUAAUAGAGAACGGAGAAAAUGUAUGGUAAACAGAAAUGUGCAAACCUAAAUGUGCAUGUAAAUCAGUGAUUACAAAGAUGAAUCAACUCUUGUAACCUAGAUUCCUUAGCUGUCAAAAUCUCAGGAUAGAGAAACUCAAACACCACACAUAGCAAAGCUAUACGCUAAAUUAUUUCUCCAUCACGUUCACAGCUCCACAGGCUAACGUUUUCUAUACUGAUGGCCCCUUCUUAGUUGAUGAUUUUUCACAAUGUAUUUCAUGGCUUCCAUCCCUACAUGAGACUUUAUUACUAUCACAUAGGAAUAAAAAGCCAUAAAGCACUAGAGUGAAUUUAUCUUGGUCGGAUGCAAAACUUAUUUUCUUCACAUGACUUCACAACCAUUUCAAAGCUAACCAAUCAUUUCAUGCUACAUUAAGGAACAUUUUAAACUACACGUAAGUGACAGGAAGCACACUUAAAUUGUGACAUCACAAAUUAACACGAUGUUAUCCUUCAAAGACAUUCUUAGCUACAAGGACCAGAAAACAAGACUAGAAGACAUUCAGCAACACGCAACCACUGAAUGCACCCAAAACAAAGGACAUUGGGGAGAAUUCCUGGAGAAAAGCGCAUUACUUUGACAUUGGACUUGGAAACACAUGAGGAAAGACAGCAGACAGACAAAUCAAUCACUGAUACAAACUGAAACCAGGGGAUUAUUUCAAGCCUCAUGUUUCAAGUUUUUCCCUAGGAAGUGUUCUCACAUGCACACUGCCAGCUUUUAGACUUUUCAUGUUGGAGCAGGUUUGGGGGCAGGGGGCUUAGCACCUGCUUGCACUGUCAGCAUUAAGGCUUCUACACUUAAAUAACAAAAAAGAAAGAAAAAAGGAAGGAAAAAACCUAUAGCAUGCUAAGGGACCACAAGUGCUAACCGCUCAUUAACAGACCUUCAUGGAGGGUGACACCAUCUCCCACCCGCAUGUAUGGAAGCAAAUAUCGAAUUAUGCCAAAAACAGUGCUGUGCACGAAAUCCCUGUGAUCUAAGUAACUCCAGUCCACAGCCCAAGAACAUUCUUUAUGUGGCGGUAAAGUGACAUUGCUCUUGGAAAUAAGAAAAGUGGCCACAUCGAAACCCAGUUCUCUGGGACCACUGAAAACUCAAUGCCAUAAAUUCCCAUGGAUUUUCUGCCCUUUCCAAAAUCAACUUGGAAGGCCUAUUUACCGACUCCUGAAACAGCAUGCCAGACUCUUAAGCCCUGCCUUUUGCUUUUGAAAAAAUACUGAGUUAUUCAAAUUCAAAUAAAAGAAACAAGCAUUCAAGUUUCUCAUUAGGAGUAAAGUCUAGGUAAGU